UCUUUGACCUCGGAUCAGGUAGGGAUACCCGCUGAACUUAAGCAUAU
rnacentral:rRNA from 1 species